rnacentral:rRNA from 1 species
GGUUAAGCGACUAAGCGUACACGGUGGAUGCCCUGGCAGUCAGAGGCGAUGAAGGACGUGCUAAUCUGCGAUAAGCGUCGGUAAGGUGAUAUGAACCGUUAUAACCGGCGAUUUCCGAAUGGGGAAACCCAGUGUGUUUCGACACACUAUCAUUAACUGAAUCCAUAGGUUAAUGAGGCGAACCGGGGGAACUGAAACAUCUAAGUACCCCGAGGAAAAGAAAUCAACCGAGAUUCCCCCAGUAGCGGCGAGCGAACGGGGAGCAGCCCAGAGCCUGAAUCAGUGUGUGUGUUAGUGGAAGCGUCUGGAAAGGCGCGCGAUACAGGGUGACAGCCCCGUACACAAAAAUGCACAUGCUGUGAGCUCGAUGAGUAGGGCGGGACACGUGGUAUCCUGUCUGAAUAUGGGGGGACCAUCCUCCAAGGCUAAAUACUCCUGACUGACCGAUAGUGAACCAGUACCGUGAGGGAAAGGCGAAAAGAACCCCGGCGAGGGGAGUGAAAAAGAACCUGAAACCGUGUACGUACAAGCAGUGGGAGCCUCUUUAUGGGGUGACUGCGUACCUUUUGUAUAAUGGGUCAGCGACUUAUAUUCUGUAGCAAGGUUAACCGAAUAGGGGAGCCGAAGGGAAACCGAGUCUUAACUGGGCGUUAAGUUGCAGGGUAUAGACCCGAAACCCGGUGAUCUAGCCAUGGGCAGGUUGAAGGUUGGGUAACACUAACUGGAGGACCGAACCGACUAAUGUUGAAAAAUUAGCGGAUGACUUGUGGCUGGGGGUGAAAGGCCAAUCAAACCGGGAGAUAGCUGGUUCUCCCCGAAAGCUAUUUAGGUAGCGCCUCGUGAAUUCAUCUCCGGGGGUAGAGCACUGUUUCGGCAAGGGGGUCAUCCCGACUUACCAACCCGAUGCAAACUGCGAAUACCGGAGAAUGUUAUCACGGGAGACACACGGCGGGUGCUAACGUCCGUCGUGAAGAGGGAAACAACCCAGACCGCCAGCUAAGGUCCCAAAGUCAUGGUUAAGUGGGAAACGAUGUGGGAAGGCCCAGACAGCCAGGAUGUUGGCUUAGAAGCAGCCAUCAUUUAAAGAAAGCGUAAUAGCUCACUGGUCGAGUCGGCCUGCGCGGAAGAUGUAACGGGGCUAAACCAUGCACCGAAGCUGCGGCAGCGACGCUGAUGCGUUGUUGGGUAGGGGAGCGUUCUGUAAGCCUGUGAAGGUGUGCUGUGAGGCAUGCUGGAGGUAUCAGAAGUGCGAAUGCUGACAUAAGUAACGAUAAAGCGGGUGAAAAGCCCGCUCGCCGGAAGACCAAGGGUUCCUGUCCAACGUUAAUCGGGGCAGGGUGAGUCGACCCCUAAGGCGAGGCCGAAAGGCGUAGUCGAUGGGAAACAGGUUAAUAUUCCUGUACUUGGUGUUACUGCGAAGGGGGGACGGAGAAGGCUAUGUUGGCCGGGCGACGGUUGUCCCGGUUUAAGCGUGUAGGCUGGUUUUCCAGGCAAAUCCGGAAAAUCAAGGCUGAGGCGUGAUGACGAGGCACUACGGUGCUGAAGCAACAAAUGCCCUGCUUCCAGGAAAAGCCUCUAAGCAUCAGGUAACAUCAAAUCGUACCCCAAACCGACACAGGUGGUCAGGUAGAGAAUACCAAGGCGCUUGAGAGAACUCGGGUGAAGGAACUAGGCAAAAUGGUGCCGUAACUUCGGGAGAAGGCACGCUGAUAUGUAGGUGAAGUCCCUCGCGGAUGGAGCUGAAAUCAGUCGAAGAUACCAGCUGGCUGCAACUGUUUAUUAAAAACACAGCACUGUGCAAACACGAAAGUGGACGUAUACGGUGUGACGCCUGCCCGGUGCCGGAAGGUUAAUUGAUGGGGUUAGCGCAAGCGAAGCUCUUGAUCGAAGCCCCGGUAAACGGCGGCCGUAACUAUAACGGUCCUAAGGUAGCGAAAUUCCUUGUCGGGUAAGUUCCGACCUGCACGAAUGGCGUAAUGAUGGCCAGGCUGUCUCCACCCGAGACUCAGUGAAAUUGAACUCGCUGUGAAGAUGCAGUGUACCCGCGGCAAGACGGAAAGACCCCGUGAACCUUUACUAUAGCUUGACACUGAACAUUGAGCCUUGAUGUGUAGGAUAGGUGGGAGGCUUUGAAGUGUGGACGCCAGUCUGCAUGGAGCCGACCUUGAAAUACCACCCUUUAAUGUUUGAUGUUCUAACGUUGACCCGUAAUCCGGGUUGCGGACAGUGUCUGGUGGGUAGUUUGACUGGGGCGGUCUCCUCCUAAAGAGUAACGGAGGAGCACGAAGGUUGGCUAAUCCUGGUCGGACAUCAGGAGGUUAGUGCAAUGGCAUAAGCCAGCUUGACUGCGAGCGUGACGGCGCGAGCAGGUGCGAAAGCAGGUCAUAGUGAUCCGGUGGUUCUGAAUGGAAGGGCCAUCGCUCAACGGAUAAAAGGUACUCCGGGGAUAACAGGCUGAUACCGCCCAAGAGUUCAUAUCGACGGCGGUGUUUGGCACCUCGAUGUCGGCUCAUCACAUCCUGGGGCUGAAGUAGGUCCCAAGGGUAUGGCUGUUCGCCAUUUAAAGUGGUACGCGAGCUGGGUUUAGAACGUCGUGAGACAGUUCGGUCCCUAUCUGCCGUGGGCGCUGGAGAACUGAGGGGGGCUGCUCCUAGUACGAGAGGACCGGAGUGGACGCAUCACUGGUGUUCGGGUUGUCAUGCCAAUGGCACUGCCCGGUAGCUAAAUGCGGAAGAGAUAAGUGCUGAAAGCAUCUAAGCACGAAACUUGCCCCGAGAUGAGUUCUCCCUGACUCCUUGAGAGUCCUGAAGGAACGUUGAAGACGACGACGUUGAUAGGCCGGGUGUGUAAGCGCAGCGAUGCGUUGAGCUAACCGGUACUAAUGAACCGUGAGGCUUAACCUU